GAUCUUGCGUCUACGGCCUGCGCGCGUUGCGUAAGGCUGAUGGCUGGUGGCUGGAGCCACCGGCCU
rnacentral:sRNA from 1 species